UUGCAAAUGAACUCUUCAUUUCCAAAAAUAGGUUAAGGGUGUCAUCUGUUUGUGUGAAUCAACAUAAAUGAAGCCAUUCAGCUAGGACCUGAAAAACAAAACUCUGAACUGAGAGUGGCUGAAAAAAAAGCUGUCCUGUUCAUUACACUUUAUCAACUCAGUGCAUGUCAAAUUUGGAUACAUCUUCUAAUAGAUUUACUCUCCAUUGAUUAAGUUGACAACUUGCAUCCUCAACACUGCUGUGACAAUGGAGUUGCAGAGCAGCAAAAGAAAGCACUCAUCACCCAUUUAAGACUUGGUGGUGUCCGUGACAGGCCCUCUCCUGGUUUUGAUGAUCUAUCAAUCACAGAGGCAAAGCUUAAAUGUGCGAGCCCCUGUCAGGGGAGGUCUGACCUGCGGCCUAGCGUGACAUUCAAGAAAGGAGUGCUACUCACCCAGGAAAUCCCAUUACACCAAAGUAUGAUGGAUAUCAGUACUGGGAAACCUCA